CCUACGGGCGGCUGCAGUGGGGAAUAUUGCACAAUGGGCGCAAGCCUGAUGCAGCCAUGCCGCGUGUGUGAAGAAGGCCUUCGGGUUGUAAAGCACUUUCAGCGGGGAGGAAGGCGGUGAGGUUAAUAACCUCAUCGAUUGACGUUACCCGCAGAAGAAGCACCGGCUAACUCCGUGCCAGCAGCCGCGGUAAUACGGAGGGUGCAAGCGUUAAUCGGAAUUACUGGGCGUAAAGCGCACGCAGGCGGUCUGUCAAGUCGGAUGUGGAAUCCCCGGGCUCAACCUGGGAACUGCAUUCGAAACUGGCAGGCUAGAGUCUUGUAGAGGGGGGUAGAAUUCCAGGUGUAGCGGUGAAAUGCGUAGAGAUCUGGAGGAAUACCGGUGGCGAAGGCGGCCCCCUGGACAAAGACUGACGCUCAGGUGCGAAAGCGUGGGGAGCAAACAGGAUUAGAUACCCGUGUAGUC
rnacentral:rRNA from 1 species